rnacentral:rRNA from 1 species
CAUGUAGGCGGCAUGACAAGUCUGGUGUGAAAUAUCUCGGCUCAACCGAGAAAACGCACUGGAAACUGUCAAGCUUGAGUAUCGGAGGGGAAGCUAGAAUUCCUGGUGUAGGGGUGAAAUCUGUAGAUAUCAGGAAGAAUACCGGUGGCGAAGGCGAGCUUCUGGCCAGAUACUGACGCUGAGAUGCGAAAGCGUGGGGAGCGAACAGGAUUAGAUACCCAGGUAGUCC